UCUCCGAAGCCCAUUGAUUAGUGUUGAUCAAAGAUCGCUUUAGUCAAACAAAUCCUUUGUACCGUGCUCUAACCCCAAGUCUAUUCAAGUAAUCAAAAGAUCCUUGAUCAUUUGAUAGGGCAAAUUCAUUCUGCUCAAGCUAUAUUGGAUAUGUUGAAUCUCAAGAGCUCAAGACCUCAAAAUUCAAAUGCAAGAUCAAGACUUUAAAGUCAACAUCAAUCAAGCAUAGUUGACAAAAUGGAGGAGUUGGUUAUGGAGAAGUUGGUUAUGGAGAUUCAGUUGGCUGGUUAAGGGUGACAUGGUUGAAGAAGAAUGGAAAAUGAGAGAGGGUUUUUGAAGCCAUCGGAGAAUUCUGUUAUAUCCGUUUGAGGGAGAAAUUAAGAGGUUAUAUUUGGCAGUUAGAGGAAUGAGGAUUUUCUAUUAGAGAAGUUGUGGAGAGAAGUUAGAGGAAUUCUGAAGUUUGGUUUUGGUUAGAGGGAGUGUAUGAUGAGGUCGAUAGACUUGAAGGGAGUGAGGGUUCUAUUAUGAAAAAAUGGGAGAGGUUUGUUGAAAGGUUGUUACAAUUCUGUUAUAGAGAUAUUGAUUAGAGGUUUGUUAGAAUGAAGUUUAGAGUUUUUGCUCCAUUCUGUUUUGGAGUGAGAUUCUUCUGUUAUAAGGGUUUGUAUUUAUGUCUUUAUCAGUUGGAGGUGCGAUUUUGAAGAAGGUUACAAUUUCUUUCUCUUGAAGAGGUUAGGGAAUGGUUUUAACCGUUUUUGAGUUGGUUGUAAUUCAGUUAUAGGGAGGUUAUUGCAAAAUCUGUUAGAAGUUGUUUUCAGAUUCUGUUACAGGUUUUUGAAGGUAGUUAGAAUUGAAGAGUUUCAGUUAUUCGAUUGAGGAAGUUUGAAGGGUGAUUAAAGGAUGGUUUUUUGUAAUGACUGUUUUUGGAGAGUUGAAAUGAAGAGAUCGAAGAGUUUUGGUCCUCGGUUAUGUUCUGUUAGAUUGUUGCAGGGCUUUGUAUUGUUGAUGAGGGAAGUGAGUGAAGGUUUAAAAUUCGGUUAGGGGGAUUUAUGGGAAGUCAUUCUGUUAGAAGUUGGAUCAACUUCUGUAAACCAUUUUUACCGGUUAUCGGUUGGUUGGUGGUUGAAGGUUCCGUUUUAUUAUGCAGUUGGAGGGAAUUUGGAAUUAUGAAUAGAGGACUUUCGUCGCAGUUUCUGGUUCACACUUGGUUGGAGGUUAUGCACACAUGAAGAAUAUGAGUUGGCUCGAAAUUGUUUCGAAGAUUAGAGCUCAUGUUUUGGACCUUAAUUGGAAUGUCGAUUGAGCUAUUAAGCAUCGCUUGGAUUUGCGCAUGGUUCGGGACUUGGGUGUAUGCACUGCUAGGUUUUAGGUGUUAUCCAAGAUUUAUAUCAUGUAAAACAAGUCACAGCCGUGUAUGUUUGAAUGCUAUUGCCUUGUAAACGCCGUAUGUAAUUUGGAUUCACAUUGUGUUUGAAUGGCUUGAAUGGGAAAUGGUUUAUGAACGAUUUUGUAUUGGUUAUGUAAUGAA